rnacentral:lncRNA from 1 species
CGGUUACUAAUGCGUAGCCCACCUAAGGAUGACUACAUAAUGUCCUCAUUCGAUAGUUUCUACACCAUCUCUGUUCUGACAAAUUUCCGUUAUGACUAAAUUGCCCCCACAUGUCCACCCUGCACUUUUCUCAUUCUCCAGCUAAUGGAGAAUUACAGUUCAUUGAAACAAAGUUUUUAGUGAUGAAGCCUGGAGUAUUUCACACUUUCACCCGCUUAAAUCCCUUCGAUGAGGUAAAGUAUGAAACGGGCACACGAAAUAUAUAUUUAUUGCAAGUUUAUCUUAUCCUUUAGAUCUCGUAAAAUUCUUUUUAAGGUAAGUUUGUAUUUUUUUUUUAUUUUUUUUUUUGUAUUAAUAAACACUCUUUAUUCGUUGUGGUUAAUUUAAAAAAGGAAAAACAUAGGCUAAGAGUUGGUGAACUCAAUUGUUAUUGCAAGAAGUGCAAAGAAAGCAAAGGGUAUUUCAGUAAGUGCAGCAUCGAAUUAAAUUCCCUUGAUCUACUGUUCCAUUUUAUGUUUGUAUAAUAAUGCAAGUGUAGAAAUAUUUCAAGUAUGUUAAGGUCAAAUAAUUGAAGAUCCCAAAGUCUUGUGAUGCAAAAGAGAAGAAGAACCAAAUAAAAUGUCAAGAUUUGAGGAUGGAUUAUGUGUAUUGAUACAUGUAAUGUUGAGGAAGAGCAUCAACAUAUAUAACGAGUUUUCGUUCGUGCUCGUGGACUUGGUUUCUGUACUAAACUCAAUGUUUCAAUUUUCGGGCAUGUUUUUGCAGAGAUCGAAUACAGUUCCGAGCCGGUACUCACCUAUGUCUUCGGUGUUUGGUCGCCAUGACCGGUAACUCUUGUUGCUAAACAUGGUCAGAAAAAAAGUGGUUCAAACACCAAAUUUAUCAGUAAGAAGAAAAAUUUGUUUCUUGUUGUGUUUCCAUGACAUGGUGAAUGCUGUAAAUCAAGAUCUAUAGAUGGUAUACAGAAUAUAUCAUGAUUGGAUGAAUAAUUUUGUUAAUUUUGUUUCACUGUUAAGAUAUUCUGUUCCUUCGUGUAUGAAGAUUACUUCUUUGGCAAAUUAAUUUGUAUUGAUUAAUCAGAAGAUAAAUAGUAUUUUAGCUAUUACUUGAGUCUUGAAAAAAAAAAGCUUUGAAUUUGUGUGUGUGGAAUUCUUGUAGACAUCUAAGUGUAUUAGACCUAGAAGUCCGCGCAUUAGAUGUAGAAUUGGCUUAUGCACAUUAAUAAAUUUUUUUACUAGUAUCAUAAAUAAGAGUUUAUUAGAUUUUCAUUCUAACAAAAAGAAAUCAACUUACUCCACCAUUUAUGCUAAGCUUAAAAAGUGCUUAAGCUUAAACAUGCUAUUAUGUCUAGCUAUUAUAGACAUUGCUUCUUGGCUUAUGACACAAGCAUGUCUUUACUGCUGAAGUAAGAUGAUCAAAAGCAGCUUAUAAGUAAGCAUGCCCUCAUAAGUGGUUUGGUCUAUACCCUCUAAAUACCCAACUAAAAUUGAGGUUUAAGUAAGUGUCCACUAGAACUUUUACCCGAAAGUAGGGUUUGUUUGUACAACCCCUACCUAAUUGCCGCAAAUUUCAACUCUAAAGAAGAUCAGGAAUUUAUGUAAUGAUUAGGAAAAUAGGAAUAGAAUAAUUUUAUUGUACCUAAUAGAGCAAGGGAAGGAGAACAUGUAAGUGAGUCUGCUUAAAUGAUAUAUAAGGCUUAGAUAAUUAAGAUGGAAGAAGUGCCUUCGAGUUAGCUCCCUUGGAAAAUCUCUAAUUAGUCUUUUGUGGUGUGGCAUGGGCCGUUGUUUAAGUAGUAGUUUCUCUCGUUUUCUGGAAAAAAAAGUAUAUAACAUAAAUCAACACGUGGACUCAAGCCAUAAAAAGUGACUUAUUAUAGGUUAAUCACGAGUCAAAGAAGAUAUCUUAUAGAUGAGAACUGCACAGCACAUAAAACCUAAUCUUUUGAUGCUUCAUAUGAUGAUUGCUCUACAGAUGGAAAAAUGAAAGUAAACAUUAAGUAUGGACUUUAAUUUUAGAAAGCGAUCAUAGUUGCAUCAGUAACACGAAUUAGUUACAACACCUGAUCAAACAUGGUUUAUAAUAAAUUUGAGGUUGACAACAUUUUACUCCCAUCGCUUUGUUCGGUUUCAUAUUAGAUUUACUAGAAGAAUAUCGAAAACAAGUAAAGCAUUGCAACCAUAGAUAACUGCACUAGGUUUUGCUCUAUCCCUUCAUAUUCAAAAAUGCUUCAUUGAGAUUGCAGAACCCUUAAUAUGUACAAGAAUCUCUUUAGGUAUACAGCUAACAUGUCCCGAAUACAUAUAUGGCCUUCCCUCAAUUUAUCACCAAUUGUUAUUGGAGUUAUGCUUUAUGUACAAAGUUGGUUGACAAAGCAAUAUCUAUACCAAUUAUUUAAAAAACAAAAUUUUAAAUCAUUGGAAAUAAAUGGCCUAAAUUUUGCCGGCACUUAUUUUGUCAACCAAAUUUGUAAAUACACUUUGUACAAAUAGCAUAAUACUUGUUAUUGAUGUGUUACAUCAACUAGUAGAUGAACUUGGUCAUUAAGAGCCUACUACUAACUAUGUAGAUUAAUUAGUUUUAUAUGGUUGUCUUAAGUAUGUAAUAGCGCUAUAGCAUAAAAACUCCUACGUAUUUGGUUUAGUUAAAAAUUAGAUUUUUAGUAGAUUUUGAUAAAAAUUGAUGAAAUGUGUGAUUGAAAAUUUAAUAAAAGUUUUGGAUCCCAUAAAACGUGUGAUUGAAAAUUACUUUGAGAUAAAAUAAGUUUCAAAAAAGGGGACCAAUUGGGGCAUAUAUUUUUGCUUUAUAGAUGAUGAGAUAAGUAGUUAUAUAAUAGUUUAUAUACAAAUGAUGUGUUAAAAAGAAAGAGAUUUUUUUUAUUUUUUUUAAAUUUUGGUUGAAGAAAUUUUAAUUCAAUUAUAUUUCACCACAUCAUGUGUAUGUAAAUCAUUAUGUAAACCUAUUAUGUACAGGUAGAAGAAAUAUAAGUGCAUAUAGACACAAGUUUUCUUGCAUUUGUUUAUUAAUGCAACAGCUAAUCGGACAAAUGAUCUAUCCAAAGGGCUGCCGUCUCCUUGCAAAUUAAAUUAAUUGUUCUUGCUAGUACCAUGAAUAAUAUUCUUGUACUUAUAUUCUAACUAAAAGGGCAAUCGUGAAAAAAAUUGACUUAUACCAUCAUGUUAGGGUAAGCUUAAAAGGUGCUUAAACUUAGCGAUAGCAUGUCUAUUUUGCCGUAAGCAUGUCUUCACUGAAGAAAUAAGAUAGCUAUAAGUAGCUUCUAAGUAAACAUGCCAGGUAAAUAAGCAGCUUACAAGUAAUUAAGCAUACCCUAAGUGGUUUGGUUUAUACCCACGUAUCUUUUUUGUUGUGUAGCUUUAUGAAGCUGUGCACUUGAAUAAUACGAAAUCUAAAUACACAAAUGAAAUUGAGGUCAAUUGUCCACUUGAAUUUUUACCCGGAAAGUACGGUUUCUAAAACACCGCAUAAUUAGUUUUGCAGCAAUUGGAAAUUCCAGCUAUUAAAAAGAUCAGAUAUAUAUGUAUGUGUAAUGAUUAAAAAAUAGGAAAAUAAUGACUUUAUUAUACCUGAUAGAGCAAGGGAAGGAGAACAUGUACGCGAGGCUGCUUAGAUAAUAUACAAGGCUUGGAUAAUUAAGAUAAAAGAAGUGCUUUCAGGUUAGCUCGCUUAGCAAAUGUUUAAUUAGUCUUUUGUGGUGUCGGCUAUAGUUUAAGUACUAGUCUUUUUCUCAUUUCCUAGGAAAAAAAUGCAGCAGCAGAUAUUCACAUUUCCAAUAAGAUAGAUAAACACGUUGCUUAAUCCAUAAAAAAAGAAUUAUUACACAUGGAUCACGAGUUAAAGAGCAUCAGAGUUGUGGAUUGCAUAAACCAUGUACAAUUUUUUGAUGCUUUUUGUGACGAUUACUCGACAGACUAGGAAAAUGUAAGUAAAAAUAAUGCUUCUAAAAACAGAUCUUAGUUUCAUCAGUAAUAUAAAUUAAAUACGACAACUGAAGCCUUGCAACAACAGCAAUCCACACUAGUUUCGCUCUAUUCAUAAGAACAAUAACCUCUUUACAUCUAGUGAAAACUUGUCCCAAAUACAUAUAUCGGCAUUCUCUCAACUAUUUAUCAAUCAUUUUUUGAUAUGUUACACGAACUAGCAGAUGAACUUGGUCAUUAAGUCCCUAGCUACUAAAUACAUUUAGUUUUACAUGGUUGACUUAACUAGGAAAUAGGGCUAUAACAUAAAAAACUUGUAUUAUAUUUUGCUUUAUAAAGAUGAAGUGCUUAUAGACACAAGUUUUCUUGCAUUACUUCAUUAAUGCAAAAGCUCAUUGAGCCAAUGAUCCAUCCAAAGGGCAACUGUCUCUUUAUCAGGGUUACAAGAUACAAGUCCAUUACUGAUGGUUGACGGUCACUACAACAGAAGUAGCUUUUUACGACAUUCAUCUAUGGCAUACAUAUAAAGCACACCUUAAAAACGAACUAUUUAUGGCAUGCAUUAAAUGUGUGCCGCAAUAAUUAAAUUCCUCAAAGUAUUUACGGCAUAUAUUUUUGGCAUGCUGUAAAAGUUGAAUAUCUACGAGAUACGUAUUGGGCAUGCCGUAAAAGCUAAAUAUUUACGGCAUACAUAUUGGCAAGCCGUAAAAAUUGCCACUUUUUGAUCUUAAAAUUUCUUUUAUUUUUUUAUUCUUCUCCCACAUUUUCUUUUCCUUACCUUUUCAUUCUUGUUCGUUUUUUCUUUACAUUUUCUUUCUUUUGUCUAUGCUUCUCUCUUUUUCUUUCAGCGAAACCCUUGUCUUCUCCUUUCAACCGCUCUAUUAGCAAUCGUCAGUUCAAUCAACCAUCUGCCAUAUUUGACCCAAACCCUUUUCCAAAUCCCCUGACACGACCCGUCCCGAAUCACCCUAGUGGACCCGAAACGUGACGUGCGCCGAUGAUAGAUGCUGACUAGAUGUCAAAUCUAUCACCAAGACUGACUAUGAGUUAUUUCAAAAAUACAACAAAAUCAAAUGCUUAUGUAAAACAUAAUGCGAUGGGCCCAAAAUAUUUACUUCGUGCUCCAUCAAUAUGAGUUAUAAUAUUCAACAUGUCGUGUGGCUCUCAUUCUGAAAUCAUUAGGCUCUUCCAACUAAAAAGAAUCAAUUUCCACCUGUAUAGAAAUUAUGGGAAAAUAUAUGAGUUGAUAGCUCAGUGAGUGGAGAAGUUCGAAAUUAAUUAUACUGUUUCAUUUUUUACAUUUUUUAUCGAAAAUGGAGUUCAUAUCAUUUAAUAAUUCACAAGAUAAAAUCAUGUAAUUAUAACCAAAAGUGAAAUAUUCACAUAAGGUCGUAAAAUAUCAUCUCAAAAUCAUGAUAUAAACACCAGUUGAUAACCAUGCUAUAAUCUCAUCACAUCAAACGUGCUGAAAAAUCCACAAAAAAUAUACCCUCUGAUUGAAAUAUAUAAUCCGCCCCUCGGGCUAAGAACUUUUGCCACGGGUCUUUGGCCCCUCCGUGAAUGAAAGUCGAUCUCAAAGACCUCUCAUAAUCAAUUCUAGAACACGGCCAAGACCCCUCAGUGAACUAUACGUACACGGUUAAGGCCCCUUCAUCCCCGGUCCAUGACCCCUCAGUGUAGUAUAGAAUACGGCCAAGGCCCCUCAGUAAAUUAGAAGAAAUAUAUAAUCACGGGUACUUUUCUGAUCGAUCUCAAAAUCAUAUCUCAUAUUCCAAUUCACAAUGUAAUGUAUACAAUCUUUGAAAUCCCACAUGUAUCAUAAUAAAAGAUAUUUCCAUAAAAACCAUGUAAUUUGAACACAUAAUUGCAUAUAAUUGCACAUACUUUAACAAUAAACUUAAUUUAUAAAUACUUUAAAAAUAUUUAUAUUUUUCCACUCACAGUACUAUGUUCGCAAAAUUAACCCAGUUGAUAAACUGUCCUGAUUUCAAUGUCGUCGCCUGAAAUACGAUAUAAUUUUUAAAUAAAGAAUUAAUUAUUUUAAAUAAUUUCAAUAAUUAAAUAGACGAUACCCAAACUUAAUCAUUUCACGUUUAAACGAUUUUCAUAGUCUAUUUAAUCAAUAAAACUAGUUUUUCUUUCAUCUUACUCAAUUUCAUAGUUUAUUAUACUUAACCCCUUCAAUAAAAUUUAAUUUAAUUUAACAAUCUAACAACUAUAAAAUCAAAUAUAACUUGACAAUAAGUAACUUUUUACUUACCUUUCAAAAUUGAGGAAUUCAAGCCUAAUAAUGUAGACCGCUUAUUUUUGAAUAACAUAGGCGAACUUUCCUAUUUUUUUCUUCCUUUCCUUUCCUUUCCUUUUUUUUUCUUCCACUUUUUCCUUCAUUUUUCUCCCUGUUCUCGUUUUCUAUUAGUGUGUGUUGUGUGUGUGUUUGUGGGACAAAAUGAAUAGAUUUUAAACAUGGGUGGAUUGAAAUAAAUCAAUCCGCCGCCUCUCUCUUUUGUUUUUUUAUUCUGUUUUUUUUUUUGUAUGACAUGUUUGACUUUUCUUCUUCUUCUAUUGUUUUUUAUUCUUUAUUAUAACCAAAUUAAGGUAUUACAAAACUCAUCCCCUUAAAAUAAUUUCGUCCUCGAAAUUCAAUUAGCUAGAGACCCAACACGUAAGGAUAUAGAACUCACAUUUAACUUUCACUACCCAUAAUGCCUCUUUUACUGAAUGAUUUCUUCAACAAACAUUUAGUACCAAAAUUUAAUCUUUCCCAUCAUAGUUUUAAUAACUUCCUAAGAGCCAAUAUAUGGUAUUCUCAUUUUUUUUUCCAUAGCAAUGGUUACGUACUAAAAUCGAAUAGCAUUCUUUCAACAAUUUCAUCACAAUAAAUAUGUCCUUAGAAUAUUUCAAUAUCAUAUAUAACCUCAAUUAUUGUCAUUUGUGUCUAGUUCUUAUAGGUCAAUUCCAUGAAGAAUAGAUAAUCAUCAGAGUCCUCUUUAAUUAACAAACUAGUUGAUAGUCUCUCUUUUAAACUUAUCUUCAUAAUAUCUGAUAUUCUAUCAAAAGAAAAUGCAUAGUGAAAUUUAAUUAUAUAACUUCUUACAACUAACCAAAGAUAAAUACUCCAAUUCCACCAUAUAAUUAACAAUAUUCUCUAAAUAUAAUUUUGUAAGUCUAUCCUAUGAACUGACUAUAUCAUUUAAAAAGAAUAUUGUAACCUUUAUCAAUUUAUCCACAAGGAUUUAGAUACUAUUUUGUCUCCAUUCCGUAUAUUUGGAAUCCCAAAAAAAAUAAAAUACUUUAAUGGUAACUACAUCCAUUUUAAAUUGACAAUAUCUCCAAAAAUUCAAUUGUUCAUGAUUUUCUAAAAUUCUAGUUAUCCCCAACAAAACAAUUGAAAUAGUUCAAUAUGGUGUUCUUUUCCUUUAAUUCUAUAUCACCAAAUGAUUAUAUAUACACAAUUUUCAUUUCCACCAUUUCGAAUAAAAUAUACCUUAAAGUCUGAUGAUUGAUAAAUAUUGAUAUUUCUCGCAAUGUGAUGACAAAAUCCUGACAUAACCAACUCCAAAUCAUGUUUUAAUCAUGACUCUUCAACAAUCUAAAGUAUUUUCUGUAAUUUAUAAGUUUACUUCAGAAUACUUUCUAAACCUUAACAUAAAUCAUUAUCGUGAAUCAAUCACUUAACAUCUUUAGAUAUAAGAGCAAAUAUUUCCUCAGAAUUUCUUAAUAGCAAAACUUUUGACAUUUCUAUACCCAUAUAAAUUUUGUUCUUUCUUUCUAUGAAGAGAAAAUAAUAACAUUUAAUCAUGAAAAUCUAUACUCUUAUUACAUAAAUGGGUCGUUGAUCUAUCAUCACUGCAUAAUCCUUCUUGUAUAUCGCAUAAAGACCUUUAACUAAGUUUAUAACGCAAAGACACCGUCCCAGAAUUGAAUAAAAUUUACAUUCAAUGAUCACCCUAAACUUCAAACUAUUCGACAUAUCAUCCAUAUAUUCCAUAACAAAUAGAUCUCAAUAAAAAUGAAAUACUUUAUACGUGAAAUCCAAAAAUACAAUUGAAAAUCACCCAAAAAUUAAAUCACUAAAAAUUCAUUAAAUUCAUCUUAACUUCAAAAUUUAACUCAACACUUCCAAAUUUUAUGAAAUAUGACACAAUGAUCCAACGAAUGGCCUUAACGAAAUUAAUUAACUUAAUAACCAAAUCAAUCAUCACAUUAUUUUGCUAUAGAACAACCAUUACGUUCAUUUACAUACUCACCAUAUUAUAUUGUGAUCAAUAACCUCAUCACAUACUUAUGGAUAUACCAUAUGCCUUCUAACUUUUAAUUACAUCAAUUUUCCUUAAGAUCACAAAAUAAUAACCUUCAUAUUUAUCAUGUGAACCUUUCACACCUCAAUAUACCACCAAAAUUUCAUAUGUUAAUUUUCUAAUCUAAAUAAAUUCCAACUCUACCAUUCUCUACUCGCCUUUUUAUUUCUCGAUUCACAUAAACAUACCUAAAUACACAUAUCCAUUUAAUUAUAUUUCUUAAGCAACAAAUAAUCCCGCAAUCGGUAAUCAUAAUAAAGUUCAUCCAUAUUUUUCUCACAUUCCUUGUAAUCAAACCACUCAUAAAUAAUCAAAAUAAGUGGAAUUACUGUUAAUUUUCUCGAUGCCUAAAAUACACGAUAACACAUUGUCAUUUAUCAAUCAACAAAUCAUCAUUUGUCUUUCACAAUUUCUUAUCAUAUAGUAUAAAUAUACACCAUUGUAGUUUCUAUUAUUAUCCCAUAUAAGUGACCACAAAUCACCACAAAAUUUUGAUAACGCCACUAAUCAUUUAGUUUCCCAAAAUAAUUAAAAUUCCUCACCUGAUUAUCACCAUUUACACAUAUAAUAUCGUUUUCACUGUUACUAUAGCACAAGCUAGAACUAGGGAUUUCCCAAGUGUAUAUUAAAAACCAUGAAAUUCUACACAAAGAUUGGUACUUAAAUGGUUGUACCCUAUCACUUUGAAUGCCUAUACAUAAACAACCUGUAAAAUCAUUAAAAUCUAUUCAACUCUUAAUAGGUUAAAUUCACCACAAUUUCAAUCCAACAACUAAUAACUCUUUCCACCAAUCGGAUCAUUGCAACUAUCAUAUUUAUAUACUAGUUUUUUCUGGAUAUGUUAAAAAAAUAUUUUUCUAUCAUUUUUUCGUUCCAUAAAUUCGAGCUAGAGAGCUUGUGAUUUCUGACACCACGACAUGUGAACAUACCCAUUGAACAUGCAUGAACCAUAAAAUUUUUUUAAAAUCAUACUCUGAUACCAUUUUGACACGACCCGUCCCGAAUCACCCUAGUUGACCCGAAACGUGACGUGCGCCGAUGAUAGAUGCUGACUAGAUAUCAAAUCUAUCACCAAGACUGACUAUGAGUUAUUUCAAAAAUACAACAAAAUUAAAUGCUUAUGUAAAACAUAAUGCGAUGGGCCCAAAAUAUUUACUUCGUGCUCCAUCAAUAUGAGUUAUAAUAUUCAACAUGUCGUGUGGCUCUCAUUCCGAAAUCAUUAGGCUUUUCCAACUAAAAAGAAUCAAUUUCCACCUGUAUAGAAAUUAUGGGAAAAUAUAUGAGUUGAUAGGUCAGUGAGUGGAGAAGUUCGAAAUUAAUUAUACUGUUUCAUUUUUUACAUUUUUUAUCGAAAAUGGAGUUCAUAUCAUUUAAUAAUUCACAAGAUAAAAUCAUGUAAUUAUAACCAAAAGUGAAAUAUUCACAUAAGGUCGUAAAAUAUCAUCUCAAAAUCAUGAUAUAAACACCAGUUGAUAACCAUGCUAUAAUCUCAUCACAUCAAACGUGCUGAAAAAUUCACAAAAAAUGUACCCUCUGAUUGAAAUAUAUAAUCCGCCCCUCGGGCUAAGAACUUUUGCCACGGGUCUUUGGCCCCUCCGUGAAUGAAAGUCGGUCUCAAAGACCUCUCAUAAUCAAUUCUAGAACACGGCCAAGACCCCUCAGUGAACUAUAUGUACACGGUUAAGACCCCUUCAUCCCCGGUCCAUGACCCCUCAGUGUAGUAUAGAACACGGCCAAGGCCCCUCAGUGAACUAGAAGAGAUAUAUAAUCACGGGUACUUUUCUGAUCGAUCUCAAAAUCAUAUCUCAUAUUCCAAUUCACAAUGUAAUGUAUACAAUCUUUGAAAUCCCACAUGUAUCAUAAUAAAAGAUAUUUCCAUAAAAACCAUGUAAUUUGAACACAUAAUUGCAUAUAAUUGCACAUACUUUAACAAUAAACUUAAUUUAUAAAUACUUUAAAAAUAUUUAUAUUUUUCCACUCAUAGUACUAUGUUCGCAAAAUUAACCCAGUUGAUAAGCUGUUCUGAUGUCAGUGUCGUCACCUAAAAUACGAUAUAAUUUUUAAAUAAAGAAUUAAUUAUUUUAAAUAAUUUCAAUAAUUAAAUAAACGAUACCCAAACUUAAUCAUUUCACGUUUAAACGAUUUUCAUAGUCUAUUUAAUCAAUAAAAGUAGUUUUUCUUUCAUCUUUCUCAAUUUCAUAGUUUAUUAUACAUAACCCCUUCAACAAAAUUGAAUUUAAUUUAACAAUCUAACAACUAUAAAAUCAAACAUAACUUGACAAUAAGUAACUUUUUAACUUACCUUUCAAAAUUGAGGAAUUUAAGCCUAAUAAUGUAGACCGCUUAUUUUUUAACAAUAUAGGCGAACUUUCCUUUUUUUUUCUUCCACUUUUUCCUUCAUUUUUCUCCCUGCUCUCGUUCUCUAUUAGUGUGUGUUGUGGAUUGAUUUAUAUCAAUCCACCGCUUCUCUCUUUUGUUUUUUUUUCUUUUUGUAUGACAUGUUUGACUUUUCUUCUUCUUCUAUUGUUUUUUAUUCUUUAUUAUAACCAAAUUAAGGUAUUACAUCCCCCUUUUUAAAUCUUUUAAAAUUAUAGCCCCCCAUUUGGCCCCCCAUUUUGUAUAAAUGAAAAUGGGUGGAAUAAUAUUUUUUUGAAAAAUGAGUGGUUCAAAAAGAAAGAAAAGUUUUCAAUUUAAGUGUAAUAUUAUUUUAUACAAAAUUGUGUGGUUGAAAAUUGGAGAGAAAAAAUGGAAUGUAAUAGAAUGGAAAAUAAUGAGGGCCAAACGGGGGCUAUCCCAAAUCACCUAUAGUUGUUGAUCGUCAUAGUCGCUAUCGCUUUAUCCCCUCUCCAAAUAUGUCAUAAAUGCUUCCCUAUUCAGUACUCUAUGUUUAUCUCCAACGUUUGGAAGGUUUCUCCAUUUCAUGAUCAAAUUAAGGUUGUUGAUGUGUGGAAUUUCAAAUAUAUGCUACUGUUUACGGGUGAAUACUUUUGCUUAGCGGGUACAUGUCCUGUUUUUUGUAAUAAAAUUGAUUACUUGUAAAUAAGGGGGAAUGGUGGAUGGAAACACUGAUUGCUUUUUGAAAUUAUUGGUACAAUUGCUGGUUUUUAUUUGAUCAUUUUUCUCUAUUCAUUUUCUUUUCGUGUGUCUAUGAGGAAUUUUUCUUUUUUCGAUAUUUGGGAUUUUGAACACCAAUUUGGUUUUGCUUAUUAUCUUGUGUAUGUAGGAAG